rnacentral:rRNA from 1 species
UCUCUCUGAAUCUGCGAACGGCUCCGCAAACCAGUUGUAAGCAAUAGCAAGGAUGCUCGUCGAACCCGGGGCUCGCGCCCCGGCAAGUAGGCGGGCGACAAGGAUACCCCUGGUAAUCCUGAGGCUAAUACUUGAGCGUACGACCUUGGCAGCCCUCGCGGCAGCCGGGGACCGUGCGAUCAUUCAAAGCGGUGGGGAAACCAUCCGGGAAAGGACGCACAGUCAAACCGCGGCAAAAAAUGGUUCGGCGGAAUCCCUCGGCCUUCGCGGUCGGGGGAGAAGCCGUUUCUCGCGGGUCUUGCACUGCGCUUCUGACCUAUCAACUGUAUAGCAGUGUAAGGGACAUGCUAUGGUUACAACGGGUACAGAGGAUUAGGGUUCGAUCCUGGAGAGUGGGCCUGAGAGAUU